UUUGUCUUUAGGCUCAUGGACUCUCUACCUGUGUGCUUCAUCUGGUUACUGUUGGUUACAGCAUGGAGCGCUGUGAUUGGACGGAGGACUUGUUGACCUCACUGUCUCUAGGUCAGAUUCUUAUUAUAUUCAAAUGUUAAGUCCCACUUGAGUGAGCUCUUUAAUUCAUGACAUGAUAAAUGAGCUUAAAUCUUCAUGAAACAGCAACAAUAGGAAAGUAAAUGUCCCCCUAACCUAAGAAACCUUCAGCAGAACUAGACUCAAGGCCAAUGGGCAUCUGAACCAGUUGGGUGAUAGAGAAGAGAGGAAGAAACACAACUGCAAGAACUGAAAAUGAGAGUGAAGUGUUGUGUUGAUAGUAUAAGGAUCUAAGACGUGCUUAAGGCCAGAUGGAGCUUGUGAGUAAGGAGGACUAGAUUUUACGAGGAAACAACAAAGAGAAGCUAGUAUAGGAGAGUAUAGGAGUUUCAGUGUCCAUGACAUGAUAUUUAUUGAUUAUUAUUGGUAGGCUAACACUGUGGAACAAGACGAAACAUCUCUGUACUAAGCCUAACCCUAAGGAGAAAAUAAUCAGUAAUAAAAGCUAAGGGUGGGACACAGUAGGUGUAGGUUAUUGAGGUAACGGUGGUGAAACGUCAUGGUAUCAGGUCUGAGUUUGUGUUUUUAUUAACUGCUGUAAGUAAACGCAUUGUUUAAAGUUAAGAAUUCUCUAAGAUCUUAAACUUGAAAUGAAAUAUUACUUUUAAUUACCAAUAUAUAAUUUUUUUUAGAGUUAUCAUUAAUAGCGUCAUUGCCCUUAUAACAGAGCUGAUAAUUUAUUUGAUUUAAAAGCUGAAGCGAUUGUGUGUGUGUGUGUGUGUGUGUGUGUGUGUGUGUGUGUGUGUGUGUGUGUGUGUGUGUGUGUGUGUGUGUGUGUGUGUGUGUGUGUUUCAGACUUUACACCAACUGGAAAAUGUCAGAUUCCUCUGAUGAAGAUGACCAGAGGAAGGCCGAGUCCACCAGCAGGAUGUGGGCAGAGUCUCAGCCGGGUCCCUCGAGUCGUCACGCCUCUAGACAGGGUUACUGUGGCUACUGCAGAGUUCUCUACAACAACUUAGACCAGCACUUGUCUAGCCUCAGACACCUGGACUCAGUCCGUGCGUCCUCCAGAGGUUCCAGCAUCAGCUCCUUCUCCAGCAGUAGUAGAACUAACAUCACCCUGCUGGAGCGUUUCCUGCAGGACGUCCUGCAGCACCACCCAGACCACUACAACGAUCCCAGACCUUCCCAUGCUGACCUGCAGUCCAUCUCCAUCCCUCCAAAGCCAAGAAUAGAGCUUGAUGAAGUAUGUUUGUCGGAUCAAGACAGCCAGUCGUUGGGCACCCGAGAACACCCGCUUAGCUCUGAUGACGCGUCCUGUCACUUGGUCAGACAGAAGGAAGGCAAUGACGGCAGCCUGUCAUCAGAGGGAUUCACAGACAGGCUUGGUGCCCCAGUCAGGGAGCAGGAGGCCAGUGCUGCCCCCUCAGACCAUAUAUGUUUACCUCAAACCAAGAGCCUGCCCCCUAGGACUCCUUCCCCAGCCCCUGUUCACAGGAAGGCUCACAGAAAGUCCAACAGGAGGAAACCUAGCGACUCUUCCUCCCCCCCCAGACGUUGUGGUCCUGGACUGGGCCUCUGCAUUGGUGAAGCUCCAACGUGUGGACCUGAUGCAGACCACAGCAUGUGGUCUCCCUCAGACCAGAGGCCCUGGCAGAGCUGGCAGAAGCAGCGGAGGGAGGCUCAGAAGGAGGAGGUGUUUUCACCGGAUCACAGAGAAAGGCUGGAGCAGACCAUCGAGGAGGUAAUCCAAAUGUGUUGCUAUGGCAUCAGUUCCACUCCCCACCACCAGGAAGAGACGGACAGCCUCCACUUUAGCCUGGCCACCUCCAUGGACACACAGAGCGAGGACUGGGACUCGCCGGUGCAGGUGGUUUAUAAGGCUCCAAACUCACCGGCCAAAGCCAGUCAAACUGAAGACCUGAGCUGGCUCAUGGAUGUAAAGGUGCACAUGGACGACCAGAUCUACUCGUCCCAGCUUGACUGUGCCCUCAACAAGAAAGCAGAGUACUUCAGGGGCAAGACCUGGACCCAGAUUGAACAAGAGGAUGAGGACAAGGUGAAGAAGCUGGUCUGUCAGUUCAGACGGGGGGCGUUCAUCUGCUACUUUGACUCAGAGUCUCUGGCCAGGUAUGGUAGGAGAAACCACACCCAGAAAGGCUGCGGCGACAGCGUCCUUCCCCUCUUAGACUGCGAGGAUGGUUCAGUGUACCUGAGGAGGAGGAGGCGGGGCUUCAGGCUGGCAUCUAGGUGUCAGGUGGUUAAAGUCAGUCACAGCACUCAGACGGUUCAGCUGGUUCUUCCCACCGUCCAUCAGCCUGCGACAGAGGCGCUGCCCCCCAGCUUCACUGCAGCAAAUGAGGUCGGAGGGAGGUGGACACCUGAGACCUGGCGCUUCCUCCCUCACUCGUACUCCAGCAUUGUCACGCCUGUGCAGGCCCAGACCUCCCUGGUCUAUCUGCUGUGCUCCCCCCCUGGCCCAGCCACCGCAUGCUCAGCUGCAGCGGGCCCGUCUCCCAGACGCUGCAGAAAGCGGCGCCGUCCGCUGGACCUACAGAUGGUAAAGGUCAAAUACAGGCCACUUAACAUGAGGUUCUACGACCCCGGGACCAACCGCAUUAUUAAGACUCCCCCCAAAAGCUCCCUUCGAAACCAGGGCCCAGCCCACACAAACCCACCCCCUCCCUGCGUUCGACAGCUUUUUCGGAGUCUGAGCCCGGACCUUAAUGCUGACAGACUAGUAGACGAGACGGCUGCUAGGGGCUCCAGGGUCAAAGGUCAAAGGUCGUCUGACCCCCCCUUCAGCUUCCUACUGGGUACGUUGAUUUCACAAGGUGCCGACAGGAGGGGGAGCCAGACAGCAGCACCUCUGCCAUCCCAGAGUAGGUCAGAACGGGGGAGAAAGAAGGAGAGGACGAACGUUGUACCCCCCCCAAAACAAACCAGGGCUCAGACAAGGAGGCAAUGCAGGAGGAAGGCCACAGGCCUCUCAAGCCCCACUCCCCUGCCCUCUACCCAGCGCCAGAGGAGGAGCUGUAGGAGGAGGAAGUAGCAUCUACACAG
ensembl:lncRNA